UACGUAGGGUGCGAGCGUUGUCCGGAAUUAUUGGGCGUAAAGAGCUCGUAGGCGGUCUGGCGCGUCGGUCGUGAAAACUUGGGGCUUAACCCUGAGCUUGCGGUCGAUACGGGCAUGACUGGAGUUCGGCAGGGGCGACUGGAAUUCCUGGUGUAGCGGUGAAAUGCGCAGAUAUCAGGAGGAACACCGGUGGCGAAGGCGGGUCUCUGGGCCGAUACUGACGCUGAGGAGCGAAAGCGUGGGGAGCGAACAGG
rnacentral:rRNA from 1 species